GACGAACGCUGGCGGCGUGCUUAACACAUGCAAGUCGAACGGAAAGGCCCUUCGGGGUACUCGAGUGGCGAACGGGUGAGUAACACGUGGGUGAUCUGCCCUGCACUUUGGGAUAAGCCUGGGAAACUGGGUCUAAUACCGAAUAUGAUCAUCGGCUUCAUGGUCGGUGGUGGAAAGCUUUUGCGGUGUGGGAUGGGCCCGCGGCCUAUCAGCUUGUUGGUGGGGUAAUGGCCUACCAAGGCGACGACGGGUAGCCGGCCUGAGAGGGUGACCGGCCACACUGGGACUGAGAUACGGCCCAGACUCCUACGGGAGGCAGCAGUGGGGAAUAUUGCACAAUGGGCGCAAGCCUGAUGCAGCGACGCCGCGUGAGGGAUGACGGCCUUCGGGUUGUAAACCUCUUUCAGCACAGACGAAGCGCAAGUGACGAUAUGUGCAGAAGAAGGACCGGCCAACUACGUG
rnacentral:rRNA from 1 species